GAUGAACGCUGGCGGCGUGCCUAAUACAUGCAAGUCGAGCGAACAGACGAGGAGCUUGCUCCUCUGACGUUAGCGGCGGACGGGUGAGUAACACGUGGAUAACCUACCUAUAAGACUGGGAUAACUUCGGGAAACCGGAGCUAAAACCGGAUAAUAUAUUGAACCGCAUGGUUCAAUAGUGAAAGACGGUUUUGCUGUCACUUAUAGAUGGAUCCGCGCCGCAUUAGCUAGUUGGUAAGGUAACGGCUUACCAAGGCGACGAUGCGUAGCCGACCUGAGAGGGUGAUCGGCCACACUGGAACUGAGACACGGUCCAGACUCCUACGGGAGGCAGCAGUAGGGAAUCUUCCGCAAUGGGCGAAAGCCUGACGGAGCAACGCCGCGUGAGUGAUGAAGGUCUUCGGAUCGUAAAACUCUGUUAUUAGGGAAGAACAAAUGUGUAAGUAACUAUGCACGUCUUGACGGUACCUAAUCAGAAAGCCACGGCUAACUACGUG
rnacentral:rRNA from 1 species